CACCAACCAUCCAAUCAUAAUAACUCACGGCAGGCAGAGAGACGCGCACCAGACCGGAACGAAAGGGAUCUCCGGUUCCCGGCUCCUCCCCUUCCGAUUCCAAUCUGGUCUCGCCGGGCCUCGUGGCGAGGGAGAUAUGGGGAAGAACCAGGCGUACAAGGCGAUGCAGCGGGCGAGGGUGGGGUCCUCGUCCGGCGCGCCCGGCGCCGCCGACGCCCCCGAAGACGGCAUGCCCUAUUAGUAUGCUGAUUAUAUAUGGUAGAGUAGGAUUCCAGCUGUUGAGGAAUUUUGGCUAUCAUCCCACUUUCAGUUUGGGUGAAAAAUAAAGAAAAAGAACUUUGGCUAACGAGGGCCGUCGCAGACGGACGGUUCAUUUCAUUCUCCAGAGUGGCAUGCGGCGCGCCUGGCCAGCCUUAACAAGACGCACACCGUCACCUGGGAGGAGUUCAAGAAGAAGCAGAAGGAAGAGGAAAUGAAAAGGGGUGAGCUCGAGGCUGACAAAGAUAAAAUGAUGAGAGAGUAUAGAGCUCAACUGGAUGCAGAAAGAGCUCAGAAGCUAGCAAAUGGAAGAAAUCACUCGAGGUCAAACUCAAAAUCAUCAUCUUCCAAGAAAGAGAGGAAGGAUAAGGAUGCAAAGAAAAGAAGUAAAAAGAGGAGAAAGCACAGAAGUUCAUCGGAGUCAAGUUCGAGCUCAUCAUCAGAAUCUUCAAGGAGCGAUGAUGAGGAUAGGGGUUCAAGGAAGUCCAGAUCACGUUCGAGAUCGAAGAGAACAAAGAAGGAAAAGAAGCACCGAUCAAGGUCCAAGCGCGGCGACAGUGGAAGUGAGGAGGAAGGUCCAGUUCGCCUCUCUAAAUUCUUCGGGAAGUAAGGAGUAGAUACUGUACCCAAGACACCUUUUCAGUUUUCAUUUGGAACCAUAGAUUGGUGGGUUUGGAUGUAUCAUUCAAUACAGAUUACUUCUGAAGGUUGAGCGGAUCAUUUACGUUGAUGUUGUUCUCAAUAGAGUGCUCACCAGUUAAGAGUGUCUGGUUAAGUUGUGUGGCUUCAUGAAACUUUGUAAGCAACUGGUAAGUCAUUGUUAAAUUGCUGUACCUUAGAGGAUUUGAUGCCAAUAUUUGAAACAUUUGAGAAAUUGAACUGCUAUAUUUAUCUUAAGACUUCA